GAUAUCGGGAGGAACACCGGUGGGGAAGCCGGCCAGCUGGACGGUUCCUGACGCUGAGGCACGAAAGCGUGGGGAGCAAACCGGAUUAGAUACCCGGGUAGUCCACGCCGUAAACGAUGGGCGCUAGGUGUGGGGGUGAAAGCCUCUGUGCCGUAGCUAACGCGUUAAGCGCCCCGCCUGGGGAGUACGGCCGCAAGGCUGAAACUCAAAGGAAUUGACGGGGGCCCGCACAAGCGGUGGAGCACGUGGUUUAAUUCGAUGCAAAGCGAAGAACCUUACCUGGGCUUGACAUGCUAGGGUUGUACCCUGGUGGAAACACCGGGGGAGCGUAGGGGUUAUCUCUACGCGCUCUAGCACAGGUGCUGCAUGGCUGUCGUCAGCUCGUGUCGUGAGAUGUUGGGUUAAGUCCCGCAACGAGCGCAACCCCUGCCCUUAGUUGCCAUCGGUUCGGCCGGGCACUCUAAGGGGACUGCCGGGGAUAACCCGGAGGAAGGAGGGGAUGACGUCAAGUCCUCAUGGCCCUUAUGCCCAGGGCUACACACGUGCUACAAUGGGGGGUACAGAGGGUUGCGAACCCGCAAGGGGGAGCUAAUCCCAGAAAGCCCUCCUCAGUUCGGAUCGGGGUCUGCAACUCGACCCCGUGAAGCCGGAAUCGCUAGUAAUGGCGGAUCAGCAUGCCGCCGUGAAUACGUUCCCGGGCCUUGUACACACCGCCCGUCACACCACGGAAGCUGGCUCCACCCGAAGUCGUUACCCUAACCAGGCUUUGCCUGGAGGGGGGCGCCUACGGUGGGGCUGGUGACUGGGGUGAAGUCGUAACAAGGUACCCCUACCGGAAGGUGGGGGUGGAUCACCUCCUUUCUAAGGAG
rnacentral:rRNA from 1 species